rnacentral:lncRNA from 1 species
UUUAGUUAGUCUUUAAUAUUAUUGAAGACCAACACCCUUAAUUUCAUCAAAUUAGAUUUUUCAUUUUAGGGUUCACUUCACUUCCGACUUCUCAGUUCCGACUGGCGACUACCGGUGCUCAUCCGAGUCUGACUGCCACUGCUCUUAUUCUCUUAUGAGUUUCGAUUGCCGUUGAUCCGCCGGCAUUCACUGUUACUCCACUGGUCACUGCUUAGUCUGCUCUUCGCCAAUCACCUGUUUCUUCUUUAGGUAAUAUUUUUUCCAGUGUUGAAAUAUAAAUUACAUGAUCUGAGAGUUCUACUUCAUUGUAUUAUUGGUGUUAGAGACUUGAAUUUAGUUCCUAAUAUCAUGUUCUUGAGUUUGUAUUAUGUAUAGUAGUUUACAUUUUUUUUUAAUUCUCUUUUCAUUAAAUUUUCUAUAGAUAGAAGAAGUUGAAAGUAGAGUAAAUGAGGUGGGUUCAACCGAAAGUGAGCCUACUUCUUCACCUACAAAUUCAAUUGAAACUAGUCAAGGUCCAAAAAACAAAAAUCCAUACAAUCUAGAUCAGAAGCUUGGGAUCAUUUUGAAAAAUAUAAAGAUGGAAAUGGAGCCGAUAGAGUGAAGUGUAAAUAUUGUGGUCGUGAUUAUAAGGCCGAUACAUAAUUGAAUGGAACAACAUCCCUGAAUACUCAUUUAAAGAAGUGUCCAAAAAUUUCGAAGAAUAUUGUUGAUAGUACUCAAACGUAAUUGUCUUUCAAAAUAGAUUGGAAAACAAAGGGGGGGGGGUGCUAUGAAAAUUUGAUCAAGAACUAGUUAGUAUGACUUUAGUUGAGAUAAUAAUUACAGAGGAACUACCUUUUAGUUUUGUUGAAAAGACAGGCUUUAGAACGUUCAUGAGUAUCGCCCAACCUUUGUUUCAUGUUCUUUCUCAUAGAAUAAUUACGAGAGAUUGUUUUCAAGUUUAUGGUGAAGAAAUACUAAAACUAUUGAAGAAUUUUGAUGUAAAACCAAAAAUUUGCCUUACCACCGACACAUGGACUUCAUUACAAUGAAUAAAUUAUAUGUGUCUGACUGGUCACUUUAUUGAUAGAGAUUGGGUGUUACAUAAAAGAAAACUAAAUUUUAUCCAUAUCUCUAGUCAUAAGGGUGAUGAGAUGCCAAAAGUUAUUAGUAAUUAUUUGCUUGAAUGGAGAUUAGGCAAGGUAUUCACUGUUACGAUUUAUAACGCUUCUUCCAAUGAUUUAACGGUUAAAGAAUUAUCUAAAUAAUUAGAUAUGUGGAAAACUAAUUCGAUGAGUGGUAAGCAUCUUCAUGUGAGGUGAAUGGCUCACGUAGUUAAUCUAAUUAUGCAAGAUGGUUUAAAAGAAACCGAUGUUUCUGUUAAACGUGUUAGACAAAUUGUGAGGUAUGUGAGAUCAUCACCUCAAAGGACCUUAAAGUUUAAGAAGUGUUGUGCACAUUAAGAGGUAGAAUGUACCAAAAUAUUAUGUUUAGAUGUUCCUACUAGGUGAAAUUCCGCCUACUUGAUGUUGGAUACGGAGCAAAAUUUUGAGAAGGCCUUUGAUAAGUUUCAUAUUUUUAAUGAUGGAUUUUCUACUUAUGUUUGUUCUCAUAUUUGUGAAGAUGGGAAGAUUGUAGCUCCACUCGAAUGUGAUGAUUGAGUGAAUAUUAGAUGUGAUAAAGUUUCUUAAAAGAUUUCACGAGCUCACCGAAAAAGUUUCAGGUUCACGUUAUGUCACUUCUAAUUGUCAUUUUGAGGAUAUAUGUGAACUUGAUAAUCAUUUGAAAGCUUGUUUGGCAAGUGAAGAUACUAGUUUGAGUAAGAUGGCAGAGGAUGGAAGAAAAUUUUAAGAAAUAUUGGGGUGAACCAGAAAAGAUGAAUAAAAUAAUAUUUAUUGCUUCUGUAUUAGAUCCCCGUAACAAAUUGGAGUAUGUUGGUUUUGCACUUGGAAAAAUAUUUGGGAUGAAGAAGGAAAGAAAAUAACUGUUGAAGCGAAGGCUUAUAUGACUUCUUUGUUUGGAGAGUAUCAACAAAAAUAUUCAAGAGGAUAUCAUCUUCAAUCAUGUUCAUUUACAUCUAGUUCAUCUAAUGACACAUCUGAUACAUCUAGUGGGAGUGAGAGUAUGAGAACAAAAAAAGUGAGAACAAAGCUUCAAUUAAAGAGACAAAAGGAAGACUCUGGGAGUGCGGGUGCUAAAUCGGAGUUGGAAAGAUAUAUUAGUGAAGAACAAGAGCUUGCGUCUGAUUCUGAUGACUUUAAAAUCUUAGAUUGGUGGAAACUUAAUGCACAUAGAUUUCAUGUUCUUUCUGAGCUAGCUCGUGAUGUAUUGGCCAUUCCAAUUUCUAGUGUGACAUCAGAAUGCGCAUUUAGCACCAGUGACCGCAUUCUUGAUUCAUUUAGGAGUUCAUUGACUCCUCGGUUGGCGCAAAGUCUUGUUUGUGUUUAAGAUUGGUUUAGAUGCGAGAGUAAUCCUAUUAAUAUUGAAGAAGAUUUGGAGUUUCUUGAACAAUUUGAACUUGGUAAGAUUUUUGUGUUUAAUAUGGUUUUUAGUGCAAAAUAAUUUAGUUAUGUUAUAUGACACACUUUGUCAAAUAAUAUUUAGAUAUGACAAAUAGUGGAAUAGAAACCUGCAUUGUUGAAAGGGAUGCAAGUUAGUUAAAUGGCAAGUUUAUAGAUUUGCUUGUUUUGUGAUAUCUUUUUGUUAUUUAUUAGUUAAAAAGAUUGUAUUUAACUUGUGAUCUUUUUUUAAUUUGUAGGUUCAACCAUGCCUUGCGGUCCUAAAACUAGAUCGCCUAUUUGGAAAUAUUUUGAGAUUGUUGAAGAAAAUGAAGGGCACAAAGGUAAGUGCGUUCAUUGUGGUCGAGUUUAUAAUUUUAAUCCGAAGGUUAAUGUAACUUUUGCUUUAAUGAAACAUAUUGAGAAGAAGUGUCUUCUCCUUCAUCUAAGGUUGGAGAUUCAUAUUUAACUAUCUAAGUUUGGUUAUGGCACUUGGUGUUAUUUGGUGACCUUUUACCAAACUUAAUUUGUGGCUUUUGUGAUAGUCACUAUUUGGUUAGACUUAUUAUGGCUUUUGUGAUAGUCACUAUUAUGUGUUUAAGUUGUCAUGUAUUGUGUUAGAACUUUGAUGGCUGGAAAUAUUUCUGCCCGAUUAUUGUUUGAUCAAAUGUUUCUGCCAAGAUGGAAACAGUAGCCACAUAUUGUGUUUGAAUUUUUGCUUUUUGGACUUUUGCUUCCUUUGCAGUCAGAUGCUUUUUGGCUUUUUGCUUACUAGUGUUGUCUGCAAAUUGCAAUUUCACUGAAGGUGCACGCAAUUGCUAUUGCAACGUCAGUGCACUGCAGUUUGUAACAAAGGAAUAUAUAUUAGUGGAAGGUGCAAUUCCACUGAUAUAUGGUAAAGUACACACUCAUUUGUUAUGAAGUACUCUAGUUUUUAUGUUGAAAUCCUUAUGUAUUUUGUUCUAUAAAUCAUAAAAGUCACUUAUGUGGAGAAUAUUACUUGUUUAGAUCAUAAUACUAUUGAAAGAACAGAUUUUUACCUUUCAGAAAAAAGAAAAUGGUGUUUCAGUUCUUCAGUGCAUCAACCGGCCAUUAAUGUUUUUUGUUGAGUGGAACUUCAAAUUUCAGAAGCAAAUACAUGAUUGUGGUUACCUGCCUAGCUAUUUUUUUUGUUAAGCUAGUUUCAAUCCAAAAUAACCUUGUAAAACGGUUUGUUAUUUUGAUGGCUGUAAGGUCAUAAAAUACAAGGUCAGCAGCAGUGGUUGGAGCCAAUAUAUUUACAAAGGUGAUUCAAAAUAUAAAGAAGAUUGCCCAUGACAUAUGGUAAAAGAAAUAACUAGCUUACUUGAUUCUAUCUUUUAUCAACGGAAAGAACAUUACAGAAUACUUACGGUGUGUGAUUAAUCUAUGCUUAAUGUUGAUAAACUAGGACAAUAACCGACCGAACCAAAAUCAAAAACCAACCGAACCAUAGUUUCAAACACCAAACUAACUGAAGUUAUACUGGUUCGGUUGUCGGUGCACCAAAUCAAUAACCGAAUACCGAACAAACUGAACCGAACUUCUUGCAAACUGCACUGCACCGACCGACGCCCACCCCUAGUGCACCUCCACUUUUGCUUUCUUCAAAUGCUUAACAUGAUUUUGUUUCCUUGGCCUUUUUACCAUCAUUUUUCUUGUUGGUUGUUUUAUUGAUUCUUUUCAUGGGCUUAUUUUGUGGCGCCUACGACGAGUCACCAACGUCCAACCUUCAUUAUCAGGCUGAUCAACUUCGGCUUUGUUAUUCUCCAAUAAUUCUUCAUCUUUACUUUCUUUGAAACUACAUAAUUCAUCUGGACUGAAUGAGACAAAGGUGAUAGAGACUUGGUUUGCGCUUGCUUUCUCAUCUUCAAGCACGAUCUUCUUUUCACGAGCCAAGUCCAUAACUUUGUCCUUGAAUACAAAGCACUUCUCCAAAUGGUGGCUUACAAGUCGUUGGUAUUUGCAGUAAUUUGGGUCAUUCAUUUUACCAGCUUCAUUCGGCCGCUUCAUCUCCAGAAGCUCAAUGAGCUUUAACUAGAGGAGUUUUUCAAAAACUGCUGGCGCAUCAGAAUCCAUAAAUGGGUACUCCUUCUCUUGCAUUUCUUUUAGAGUUAACUUUCCACUUGGCUUAUUUUGAAAAGAUAUGGAUUUCAUACUCUGCUUCUUGCUCACCUUCAUUGUAAACUUCACAGGUGAUGUGUUAAAAUUCAUAGCUUCUUAAUUUUCAUACUUGGGUACAAACUUGCUCCAUUUCCUGACUUCUUGCUUGUCAUUCCCUUUACGAGGCUCAUAGAUGGGCAAAAUUUCAUAUCCAGCAGAGGCUAUGCUCAACUCCAUGUCAUUGGCACGAGUCGCAAGUUCUUCAAAUGUGCUAGGCUUGAUACCUUGUAAGAUGUAGCGUAGCCUCCAAUGCAUGCCUUGGAUGUACAUUUCUAUGCCAGAAGCUUCACUAAUCUUGUCUUUGUAGUUGAGGCUUGC